GAUGAAGAACGCAGCGAAAUGCGAUACGUAAUGUGAAUUGCAGAAUUCAGUGAAUCAUCGAGUCUUUGAACGCACAUUGCGCCCCCUGGUAUUCCGGGGGGCAUGCCUGUCCGAGCGUCAUUGCUGCCCUCAAGCACGGCUUGUGUGUUGGGCCUCCGUCCUCCUCCCGGGGGACGGGCCCGAAAGGCAGCGGCGGCACCGCGUCCGGUCCUCGAGCGUAUGGGGCUUCGUCACCCGCUCUUGUAGGCCCGGCCGGCGCUUGCCGACACAUCAAUCUUUUUUCCAGGUUGACCUCGGAUCAGGUAGGGAUACCCGCUGAACUUCAGCAUAUCAAUAAGCGGAGGA
rnacentral:misc_RNA from 1 species